rnacentral:rRNA from 1 species
GACGAACGCUGGCGGCGUGCUUAACACAUGCAAGUCGAACGAAGAGCGACGGAAGCUUGCUUCUAUCAAUCUUAGUGGCGAACGGGUGAGUAACGCGUAAUCAACCUGCCCUUCAGAGGGGGACAACAGUUGGAAACGACUGCUAAUACCGCAUACGAUCUAACCUCGGCAUCGAGGAUAGAUGAAAGGUGGCCUCUACAUGUAAGCUAUCACUGAAGGAGGGGAUUGCGUCUGAUUAGCUAGUUGGAGGGGUAACGGCCCACCAAGGCGAUGAUCAGUAGCCGGUCUGAGAGGAUGAACGGCCACAUUGGGACUGAGACACGGCCCAGACUCCUACGGGAGGCAGCAGUGGGGAAUCUUCCGCAAUGGACGAAAGUCUGACGGAGCAACGCCGCGUGAGUGAUGACGGCCUUCGGGCUGUAAAGCUCUGUUAAUCGGGACGAAAGGCCUUCUUGCGAAUAGUGAGAAGGAUUGACGGUACCGGAAUAGAAAGCCACGGCUAACUACGUG